UGUUGUGUGGCGAAGUUGGUUAACGCACCUUGUCUAGCGAAUUGGGAGGUGUGGGUUCAAAUCCCACCAGAACUG
rnacentral:tRNA from 1 species